rnacentral:rRNA from 1 species
AUUGAACGCUGGCGGCAGGCUUAACACAUGCAAGUCGAGCGGGGUGAUGGUGCUUGCACUAUCACUUAGCGGCGGACGGGUGAGUAAUGCUUAGGAAGCUGCCUAUUAGUGGGGGACAACACCUCGAAAGGGAUGCUAAUACCGCAUACGUCCUACGGGAGAAAGCAGGGGAUCACUUGUGACCUUGCGCUAAUAGAUGAGCCUAAGUCGGAUUAGCUAGUUGGUGGGGUAAAGGCCUACCAAGGCGACGAUCUGUAGCGGGUCUGAGAGGAUGAUCCGCCACACUGGGACUGAGACACGGCCCAGACUCCUACGGGAGGCAGCAGUGGGGAACAUUGGACAAUGGGGGGAACCCUGAUCCAGCCAUGCCGCGUGUGUGAAGAAGGCCUUAUGGUUGUAAAGCACUUUAAGCGAGGAGGAGGCUCUUUUGGUUAAUACCCAAGAUGAGUGGACGUUACUCGCAGAAUAAGCACCGGCUAACUCUGUGCCAGCAGCCGCAGUAA